rnacentral:rRNA from 1 species
CCCAGUGACAUUGUUCAACGGCCGCGGUAUCCUAACCGUGCGAAGGUAGCGUAAUCACUUGUUCUUUAAAUGAGGACUAGUAUGAACGGCUUCACGAAAGCUAUACUGUCUCCUUUAUCCAAUCAGUUAAACUAAUCUCCCCGUGAAGAAGCGAGGAUACCCAUAUAAGACGAGAAGACCCUAUGGAGCUUUAAACACUUAAACAUUUGCAUUACACAUAAAACUUUCAGAAAUCUCUCUCAAGCUUACCAUUUUGUUUUAAGUUUUAGGUUGGGGUGACCACGGAGAAAAAUCUAACCUCCACGUAGAAAGAAACUAUUUUCUAAGCAAAAAGUCACAUCUUUACGCAUCAACAUAUUGACCUAAAUUGACCCAUUAUUUGAUCAACGAACCAAGUUACCCUAGGGAUAACAGCGCAAUCCGCUUUAAGAGCUCUUAUCGACAAGCGGGCUUACGACCUCGAUGUUGGAUCA